AUUUAAUUUUUAAAUAAAUGAGCCAACCUGGAACUUUCGAUAACUAGCCGGUAAGUUUCAAAAACUAGCCGUUGGUUUAGCCGGAUACUGGGGCUCCUUUCACAAACUAGCCGUUGGACGCCUUCAUAUUACCAACUUUGCGUCGCAAUUACGCUUAUUUCUGAGUUGAACAGAGAGAGAGAGAGAGAGAGAGAGAUGACUCUCUCCCUUCUAGGGUUUGACGGAGAAUUUUUUAUGUGUCCGGAAGCAGGAAUUAGAGUUUUUCAAUCUGAGUUAGCAGAAACAAAGGGGAUUUUGAUUCGAACGUCAAAUAUUCAAGGUUCAUGGAGGGGUUCCUGUGGCUUCUAGUUCAUUUCCAAGUGCAAAGCCCGGAUGCUCAAGUCCAACGCAAUUUGGUGGUGCAAUCUUUUCAGCUGGAAAGGAUUUGGAGGUUGAUGGAGGGAAUUCAAAUCUGUUCGCAGAUCCAAUUUUGAACAGAAAAUGAAGAGCGACAAAAGUGAAUCUAAGAAAGACAUAAGGAGUUCUAAAGUGAGAAGUUCACAGUUUCACCUGGAUGGGAAUCAGAAAUAAACAUAGGGACCUGGUCUAAAUAAAAUUGUCUAUGCUGGGCUUCAAGAGGAGAGGUGUAUGAUAGUUAUUUCAUGACAAGAUCACCAGGCAGCUACUUUAAUUUUCUUCCUUCCUUUUAUCGUGUAACAUUUAAGCUUUGUGAUUCCUCAUAAUCAUGUUGCAGGGAUGAAUUGUUCACCAGAAAUUCAAUGUCCUCCUGACAGUCAAUGAGUAUCCGAUGAGCAAGCAUGAAAGACCAAAACAACAAAGCAUGAUAGACCAAAGCUACUUUAGUUUUCUUCCUUCCUUUUAUCAUGUGAGGUUUAAGCUUUGUGAUUCUCACAACCAUAUUGCAGGGAUGAAUUGUUCACCAGAAAUUCAAUGUCCUCCUGACAGUAUAUGAGUAUUAGAUGAACAAGCAUGAUAGACCAAAACUAGGUAAAAUUUACAGGUAUUAUAUCAUAACCUAUGAAGGACAUCAUAUAAGGAAUGCUUCUUUCAAGUCAAAUGGUGAGUUGAAGCAUUAUCAGAGUUCUUUCAAGUAACUCCACUACAGAAUAGAAGCUCUGUUUCUGUUUGCUUCCCUUAUUUUUAUUUACAUGCUUGUUUAUGCAUUAGUGUAACAAAUGUAGAAUGCUUUUCCUUUUAUGUGUAUGUAUUCUGACAUAUCCCAAAGUAAUUUUUGUUUUUCCCUUUUAAAUAGGACAACCUCGAGGAGUGCUGGACUACCUGUUGCCUAAUAUUUUUAACUCAUAGGAGACAGACCAUUUUUUUUUUUUUGGCAGUGGUUUAGCAAACCAUUUGAGAGUAAUGAUCUUUCCUUUCUAGACAUUGAUCUUCUUGAGUUCUUUCUUUUUUUAUCAUCCUUUGUUAUUGUUGUUUUUGUUUUGCAAUUGCAUGGAAGAUAUCUAAUAAUCCUUGUAAUUGUUCUUGAUUCAUCAUAAUAAGGUUUUACUCUGAUGAGGAGAAUCUCUUGAUCAUAAAUUGUCUUCACUACUUCGAUCAUUUGUGCUUCAGAGGCUGAAAGUCAAGUUUAAAAGAUAUCUUAUAAUUUAUCACUUCUAAUUUCCACUUUUGAAGUGUUUUUAGUUCUUGAUACAUUGAAGUUGAAAAUUAUUAGCAAAAUAUAGCCACAUUGAAGCAUGGCUAUAAAUUUUUUAGUUCUUCUGAUGUAACUGUACAGUUCAGCAGAAAUUCUUUCACGACACUUGGUAACUAUACAUGACCAGUUAGAUAGAGGUAUGUGCAUCUUUGGUACACAUACAUGUGCAUUCAUGUCCAUACUACACUGAAGACUUUUGUUGAUUUUAUGGUUGACAGAGAAAAUGCAUUUGCCACCCAUAAAAUUUAUGGCAAAGAACUUUGGUUUAAACAUGCCCAUACACAAAAUGUCUCAAACAUGCCUGGGUGCUAAAAUUUAAAUUCUGUAUAGGUUGGCAGAGAAGUUGACUGCACAAUAAAGAUGUUGUUGUCACGUUUUGCAACUUUAAUGCUGGGAAGACUAGUGGUAGGCUGAAUUAUGAUGUGUACUUUUUGAUAGAAGUAAAUAUGAAAAUUAUGUUCUUAAUCAUCUGUAGAUUUGAAUUAUAUAUCCUGUGAGGAUUUUUUUUUCCAUAAUAUUUAUUUUAGUUGAUUAUUGCAUCUGGCUUGUUCAUUAAGGUGCUUUAGCUCUUUUUGUUUUGUAUUUGAGCAUUCUCGUGCUUUACUUUUUUUUUUUUUUUUUUUUUUUUUUUUUUUUCUGGUGUGUGUGUGUGCACCUUUUUAUUUAUUUUUUUGAACUAUAAAGUAAGUUUCCUAUAUAAAAAAAACAAAAAAAAGAGAAAAGAUUGUCUGAACAACAUUAACUUAGGUGUUUGACAUUAUAUUUUUAUUUAUAAUGCUAAGAAUGUUAUUGUUGAAGUUUUUAUUCGUAUCUUGUUCACUCUAGAAAUCUUAAGUUUUAACCAGUGAUAUUCUUGCAUGCUUAACUUCUUUUGUUAUGUUGAAAAUGAAUUUGCUGAAAAGAUUGAGACUUUUAAGAUGUGAGAGUCAGGGUUCUGCUUAUCAUAAACUUUUGAUAAAGAGGGUUGAAAAAAAUUCUGGGUAUUGGAAGUUCAAAGGUAUUUGUCUUUGACAUAGUUCGAAGGAAUUCAUAAACUAUGCUUCUUUUUACUUUUCUCUUUUUUAACCUUUAAAUACUUAAUUUUAUAAGCUCACAUGAGUCUCUUAUGGAGCUUUGCAAUACAUGUAAUCAUCUCAGCCAGCUUCAUGCGAAGAGAUAUGCUCUACUUCUAUUUCAUUUGAUCUCUUUUGGCUUUUCUAAAAUGCUGUGAGGGAAGGGAGAAGAAAAUCAUCUUUCUUGGUGGCUUGAUUUUUCAAGCUUUCUCGGCACCUUUCAUUUAUUCAGUUGUACCCAACAUUGAGUUAGUUCAUAUUUUCACUAUCUUGCUCAUGUUAGUUUGCCUAACUACACGUUUAUUGUAUUUCAUCAGCAAGUCAAUAGUAAUAUACAUAGGCAUUACCUCCCAACUGAUAUGAGACUUUGUAGGAAGCUUGAGAUUUUAGAUUGGAUAUUACCUAAGUUAAAAGCAACAGAUCAUAGGUUGUGCAAUAGUUUUGUCUGUUCAAAUGCUUUUAUAUGUUUGUUUUGAAACAUUCUAGUUUGGAUAUAUUGUCACAAGUUGAAAAUUGUCACUGGAGAUAUAUUGUCAAAAGCUGAAAAUUGUCACUCUCCAGAUUCUUUUCUUUUCCACAAUGACCAACCACUUGACCUUAUGGAGGCAUAUCCUGACCUGAUACGUUUGGUUGGAUGGCCAGACAUUUGGGAAUGCAUGUGUUUCCCUCAUUAACAGUUACAACAGUCCAAAUUCAUUGACAUUAAAAUUUCUUCUCAGGUGAUUGAUUCUGAAUGUUUAUAAUGUUCUUAGUAUCCUUUUUGAUUUUCACUUGUUGAGGUUGUUGUUCACUUGCUAGGCAUCUUCCCCUCUUUAGAGCUUGUGGGAAGUGGUGCAAGAUAUCUCCAGUGACUGAAGUGUCAGAGGGAGUGCUCUUAUUUGGUCAUAUAGCAUGUCUCAGAGGGCAGUUGGUAAAUGGAUCCUUUUUCAGUUCUUAGAAAAAUAAAUUGGUUAUCAAGCUACUUUUAUGCUUUUUCCUGUCAACUUGAUUAAUUUCUUGCACCACCCUUGUACCACAAGUGCCCAAAUAAACUAUUUGCCCAAAUAAACUAUUUGAUGUGCUUUCUUUUUUCUUUUUUUUUAAAAUGAUUGCAUUUAUUUUUGGCUAAACCUAGUGAAGAAACUUAUAGGUCUGACUUUUCUAGUGCCAUGAUAGCAUUUGGGCUUGUGGUGUUGGAAUAAUAAAUCUUAUAGGUCUGACUUUUCUAGUGCCAUGACAGCAUUUGGGCUUGUGGUGUUGGAAUAAUAAAUCUUUAAGCUGCUGAUACAGUGAUCAUAUUUGAUACUAACUGGAAUCCACGGGCAACAUAGGAAAUUACCAUUUCUUGAUUUCUGUAAAAUUGAAACUGUUUGUUAUUAAAUCUAAAGUUGGUUUAGUUUUCUGGUUGGUAUGUGAUCAGGUGGAUUUGCAAGCUAAGUCGAGCGAUCAUAGAAUUGGCCUGAAAAGGGAUAUGCUUGUUCUUUUUUAUUUGAAACAGUAUGCAUCUUUAUCAGUUACCAUGCUCUUUGAUCAUAGAAUUGGCCAGAAAAGGGAUGAUUUGAAACAGUAGGCAUCUUUCCGCUUGGUAAUAUUAUGACAUCUAACACUAAGCUUUAUCAGUUCAUAAUGUUUUUUGUUGUCUAUAUCAAGCUCUUCUUUUUUAUCCUUUCUGCCAAGGGGGAUUCUUACCUUGCUCUUUUUGGCUUCUUUGUUCAAAUUUGGUAUAUGUAGAUUAUAUAUACAUUUGCUUAAUGUAGAUUGUAUUUAAAUUUAUUGUAUAUCUGGCAUAAUCUGUAAUCUUGCUAAAUGAUAUGUAUAUUUACUAACUUGCUUGUGUGUGGUGUUUCUUAGUUGAAUUGUAUUAAAUAGCCGUUCUAGAAAAGAUUUGAUGUCAAAGAAGCUGCAGCUCAAAAUUGCACUUGGAAACAUCUUUCAUCUUUCUUAAUGAAGAGUAACUCUUGACAUUUUCUAUCUGAUUUUAGUAUCUGUACAAGAGACAUGAAACCUAAGAAGAGGUUGCCAUGCUCAAAAAGCGCAUAAAUAUUAUAUGCUUUUUUUUUUUUUCUUUUUUUUUAAAUGAUUGAAUGCAUUUAUUUGAGGCUAAACUUAGCAGAGAAAGAUAGUGUGCAUAUAUGCUUUUUGUUACUCCAUGAUAGCAUUCGGGCUCGUGGUGUUGGAGAAAAUAUUCAAGCUACUAAUAUGGAGAUCAUAUUUGAUAUUGACUGGCAUCCACAGGCAAUACUCAGUCAAGAGCCAUAGCAUGACCAGAAAAAGGGGUGUGCAUGAUCUUUGAUUUGAAAGAAAUUCUGUCUAUGUACCACCAAACCAUAUGGCAUGACAACCAGAUAUUAACAAUGAAAUGAGAGGGACAAAGACCAAAAGAAAAAUGUUGACACAAUAUUUAAGUUAACAUGAUUUAAUGACGGGAAAACAAAAAAAAAAAAAAAAAAAAAAAAAAAAAAAAAACACAAAUGAAAAAUUAAGUGAAAAUAAAGACACCGACUUUAAAAAGAUAAGAGUAAAACAAAAAAGACAUGAAUAAGAACAAAAGAUUUUAGUUUUUAAAAAAAAAAAACUCAUAAAAAAAUACAACAAAAUGAAAUAAGUUAAAAAGAGAAUGGAAUUAAUAAAACCAAACAAAUGAUGAAUUAUAUGAGGGAAAAAAACAUAGAGCUUAAUUUAUUUAAAAAAAAAAAAAAAGCACUAAAAAAACAAAAAUACAAAUUAAAAUGAGUACAUAGUUGUUGGAUUCCACUGGUGGUUACUUGUUUGUAAAGAAAUAGAUGAAGGAAUGGAAGUGCAGCAAGUUUCACUCUCCGACACAAUUUUUUUGAAGUUUGAAGUGAUUCCUAUCAAUGCCUUAAUCCAGAAUGCAUGCUUGUUUAAGAUCUGUCCUCGUCCUUGAACAAUACUUUGCUGCAGAUUUAGUUUGAAGAAAAAUUUGGGGGUAGACUAUUUUAUAUCCAAGGGAUGUGGAAAUGGUUCUGAGCCUCUACCGUCUGUCCUCAUUAUUUGAGGAAUUCUAUUUUAUUAUUUGCUGUGGGCAUGAACCCCGGGAAAGCCAAGUUUGGAGUACAGUGGAACCACAUAAAAAAAUCAGGGAUUUAAAGGGAAGCAAUAACAAUUUUAAUUAGUGCCUUGAAGCUUGAUUCAUAUACAGAUCGCUUUUUGUUUUUGAAAAUGCAAUAUAUUCCAUAAAAAAUGCGGUAUAUUCCACAAUGAGAAGGAUUUUAUCAAGAUUUUCAAAAAUCUUUUUACUGGAUGGUCUUCUGAUUUGCAGCUCUUUUGUCCCAUGGGAAGACUUUGGUCUUAUUCUUAGAAAUCCAGUUAGAUUUAUGUUAUUUUUUCUUGCAUGGUGAACUCAAUAAUAAUGUCAUAUUGAACAUGAAUUAAAAAUGACAGCCCAGUAUGUUUCCAAUGUUUCUCGAUGGUCAGGAAAGGAUGGAUGGUACAUUAAUUUGUUACGUGUCACAGAGAAAAUUCCAUCCAUUUUAAACAUAGUUGUGAAGAUAGGGUCACUGGGCCAUUUGGUCGGUCUUAUUCCUAGUAAUCCAAUUAGAUUUAUGUUAUUUUUCUUGGAUGGUGCAUCAGUCUUAAUAAUGUCAUAUUGAACACAUAGAAAAUUCCAUCCAUUUUAAACAUUUUGUUAAGAUAUGUCUCCUUGCUUAUUUAUCAUGGUGCUGAAUCUUUAUCUAUUAUCUUGUCUAAGAAGGGACAAGAAAAGAAGAUUCAUGGUGUUAAAGAUAGCUCCCUUGGCACCUACUAUUAUGUAUCUAACAUAUAUAGAUGAUCUUAUGAUGUUUUGCAGUGGUAAUGAAUCUGAAGUUCUUCCUGUUGGGUCAACUCUGAAUUUUAAGACAUUAAGUUUAUUCUUUUCUAAUAAUUAAGAGAAUAAGAGGUCAUGCUAAAGCUCUUUUGAAGGAUAUAAGGAAUCUCAAACAGGUGAAUUGCAAUCAAUAUAGACUGAUCUUCGCCUUUAUAAGCAUAAGAGGCCAACCUUUUCAAUCAACAGACUGAUCUGAAACAGGUCAAUUUCUAAACUAUCCUUGUUUUUUAGUUAUGGUUCUUGAAAAUAUUUUUAGUUCUGUUUUUAUGGUUUUUCCUGCUGUAUUUCCAUUUAUGUUUGUGGGUUUGUUAGUUGGCUUGUCUUUUUCUUUUUGCAUUAAUUUUAUUUU